GUGCCAGCAGCCGCGGUAAUACGGAGGGGGCUAGCGUUGUUCGGAAUUACUGGGCGUAAAGCGCACGUAGGCGGCGAUUUAAGUCAGAGGUGAAAGCCUGGAGCUCAACUCCAGAACUGCCUUUGAGACUGGAUUGCUAGAAUCUUGGAGAGGCGGGUGGAAUUCCGAGUGUAGAGGUGAAAUUCGUAGAUAUUCGGAAGAACACCAGUGGCGAAGGCGGCCCGCUGGACAAGUAUUGACGCUGAGGUGCGAAAGCGUGGGGAGCAAACAGGAUUAGAUACCCCCGUAGUCC
rnacentral:rRNA from 1 species